CUCAUUAUAAUAUUUUCUUAUCUCAAUCCUAUUUAAUAUAAUUGUUUAAUACUUUAUUCACAUUUUAUUUUAUCCAAUCCGCAUUAAUCCAAAUACACUUUCUAUAUUGUUUUUUCCUUCACACUCACACACUUAGUUACUUACUACUAUCAUAUUUUUUGUACACACACAUUUGGUGUAAACUAUAAUUGCUCGAAGAUUGAUAGUUCGCGUACUUAUUCCCUAUUCUUGAUUUAUUUAUUUUUGAUACGAUUAAACUUCGAGGAUAAUUAUCUUCGAUGGGGUACGAGCGUCGUCCUCCUAUCGUCGUUGGAACGACGCUUACAAAUUUUUCCGAGAAUAAAAAUAAUGUCUCCAGUUUAUAUAUAAUUGAGGAAAAAAUUCUAGAAUAUCUAGAAAUGAAAUUUUAAUCAUUCGAGAUUUAUUCAUAGUAGUUAGCGGCUUCUCGUUCCCACGGCAACGCGUAGUAGUAGUUCGGGAAAGGCACGAUGCCUUCGUCGAGAGUUUGAUAGAAAGCGACAGUAUCUGGAAGAGGAUCAUCGAGUUGGGAACGUGGCCACCGUGUUUGUGCGUUCAGUCGUUCCUGGUAAGAGGAAUUCGAGAGAGG